UACAGAGGUCUCAAGCGUUGUUCGGAUUCAUUGGGCGUAAAGGGUGCGUAGGUGGCGCCGUAAGUCGGGUGUGAAAUUUCGGAGCUUAACUCCGAAACUGCAUUCGAUACUGCGGUGCUUGAGGACUGGAGAGGAGACUGGAAUUCAUGGUGUAGCGUGAAAUGCGUAGAGAUCAUGAGGAAGACCAGUGGCGAAGGCGGGUCUCUGGACAGUUCCUGACACUGAGGCACGAAGGCCAGGGGAGGCAAACGGG
rnacentral:rRNA from 1 species